rnacentral:rRNA from 1 species
CAGCUCCUACCCGGAGUUCAGAGGCUCAAUGAGUGUGGGUGCUCCGAGCGUGCGCUUGAGAUAGAGUCCGUCCCGGCUGGCAACUGCUGGGAGUCAAACGGAACCUGCGGAAGGAUCAUUAAAGAAUACCAGGCUCUCGAGCCCUAUUCUCACCCUUUGUCUAUUAACUUUGUUGCUUUGGCAGGCUGCCCACUGGGGCCCGUCUGUCAGAGGCCUAACUCUUGAAUCUCUGCUGUCUGAGUACUAUCUAAUAGUUAAAACUUUCAACAACGGAUCUCUUGGUUCUGGCAUCGAUGAAGAACGCAGCGAAAUGCGAUAAGUAAUGUGAAUUGCAGAAUUCAGUGAAUCAUCGAAUCUUUGAACGCACAUUGCGCUCCCUGGUAUUCCGGGGAGCAUGCCUGUUCGAGCGUCAUUACAACCCUCAAGCUCUGCUUGGUGUUGGGCUCGCCCUGUAGGGCCUGCCUCAAAGUCAGUGGCGGCACCGUCUGACCCUAAGCGUAGUACUACUCGCCGCUUCUGGGAUCGGUCGGCUGCCUGCCAGCCUAACCC